UGGGGAAUAUUGCACAAUGGAGGGAACUCUGAUGCAGCGACGCCGCGUGAACGAAGAAGGCUUUCGAGUCGUAAAGUUCUUUUAUAUGGGAAGAUAAUGACGGUACCAUAAGAAAAAGCACCGGCUAACUACGUGCCAGCAGCCGCGGUAAUACGUAGGGGGCUAGCGUUGUCCGGAAUCACUGGGCGUAAAGGGUUCGCAGGCGGAAAUGCAAGUCAGGUGUAAAAGGCAGUAGCUUAACUACUGUAAGCAUUUGAAACUGCAAAUCUUGAGAAGAGUAGAGGUAAGUGGAAUUUUUAGUGUAGCGGUGAAAUGCGUAGAUAUUAAAAAGAAUACCGGUGGCGAAGGCGACUUACUGGGCUCAUUCUGACGCUGAGGAACGAAAGCGUGGGUAGCAAACAGG
rnacentral:rRNA from 1 species